UAUAUUUAUAUACACUGCACUAAUGUAUAGUUUUUUACAUACAUUGAUGUGUAUGAUCAUAUAUACACUAUUUAUCAGUUUAUACGGUUAUGAACGUAUAUGUACACUGAUUUAUAUGGCACACACACACACUCACACUGACACUCAUACUCACAUGCACACUCACACUAACACUCAUACUCACACUCACACCGACACUCAUACUCACACACAGUCACACGCACACACUCACUCACACACACUCACACACUCAUUCACACACACUCACACUCACUCAUUCACACUUACACACGUAGACACUCACUCCCACAUUGACACUUACACUUACACUUACAUUCACUCACUCACACCCACACUCACACACACCUCACACACACACACACACACACACAAUCACACUAACACUCACACUCUCAGAUAUAUAUACUACACAUAUGUGCGUGUUAUAUAUUGACUGAUAUGAGUAUAUAUAUAAACUGAUGCAUUUAACCUUUCAAUAUACUUUGAUAUAUGCACUUAUUUUCAGUUUCUACAAUUAUCAACGUAUAUGUACCUUGAUUUAUUUAGUACACACCACACACUCACACUUACACAUACACUCGCACUCACUCACACUCACACUUACACACAUACAUACACAUUCACACUCACACUCACACUCACACUCACACUCACACUCACACUNNNNNNNNNNNNNNNNNNNNAACACUCACACUCUCAGAUAUAUAUACUACACAUAUGUGCGUGUUAUAUAUUGACUGAUAUGAGUAUAUAUAUAAACUGAUGCAUUUAACCUUUCAAUAUACUUUGAUAUAUGCACUUAUUUUCAGUUUCUACAAUUAUCAACGUAUAUGUACCUUGAUUUAUUUAGUACACACCACACACUCACACUUACACAUACACUCGCACUCACUCACACUCACACUUACACACAUACAUACACAUUCACACUCACACUCACACUCACACUCACACUCACACUCACACUCACCCUCAAAUAUAUGUACUGCACAUAUAUGCGUGUUGUGUGUGGAGUAAUGUGUAUAUUUAUAUGAUAUGUAUAAACUGAUAUGUUUAUAUCUGUAUGUAUACAGUUGCUUUCUAUCUGUUGUUAUGUACAAUUAUCAAUGUAUAUACACUGCUACGUGUAUGCACAUGCACCUUUACGCUGAUGUGUAUAUAUAUACGAUAUGUAUGUACUGAUAUGUUUAUGCGUGUAUGUUAUAUUUGCUUGCUAUCAAUUAGAUACAAUUAUCAAAGUAUAUAUACAUUGGUAUACACAUCCAGGCACCUGUAGGCGUUGAUAAGUGCAUCUAUAUUGUGUAUGUGUACACUAAUAGAUGCAUUCUAUAGACACUGAUA
rnacentral:lncRNA from 1 species